rnacentral:rRNA from 1 species
UACGUAGGGUGCAAGCGUUAAUCGGAAUUACUGGGCGUAAAGCGUGCGCAGGCGGUUUUGUAAGACAGGUGUGAAAUCCCCGGGCUUAACCUGGGAACUGCAUUUGUGACUGCAAGGUUGGAGUGCGGCAGAGGGGGAUGGAAUUCCGCGUGUAGCAGUGAAAUGCGUAGAUAUGCGGAGGAACACCGAUGGCGAAGGCAAUCCCCUGGGCCUGCACUGACGCUCAUGCACGAAAGCGUGGGGAGCAAACAGG